CAAAUGAAUUGACGGGGACCCGCACAAGCAGCGGAGCGUGUGGUUAAUUCGAUGCUACACGAAGAACCUUACCAAGGUUUGACAUGCAAGUGGUAGUGAUCUGAAAAGUGAACGACCCUUCGGGGAGCUUGCACAGGUGCUGCAUGGCUGUCGUCAGCUCGUGUCGUGAGAUGUUCGGUUAAGUCCGCUAACGAGCGCAACCCUCACUGUGUGUUACAUGUGUCGCACGGGACUGCCGGUUUUAAGCCGGAGGAAGGCGGGGAUGACGUCAAGUCAGCAUGGCCUUUAUAUCUUGGGCUACACACACGCUACAAUGGUCUGUACAAUAGGUUGCCAAGCCGCGAGGGGGAGCCAAUCCCAUAAAGCCAUUCGUAGUCCGGAUCGCAGUCUGCAACUCGAUUGCGUGAAGUCGGAAUCGCUAGUAAUCGUGGAUCAGAAUGUCACGGUGAAUACGUUCCCGGGUCUU
rnacentral:rRNA from 1 species